CCCUUAGAUGUUCUGGGCGGCCCGCGCACUACAUUGGCACUAGCAAAGAGAUCCUAGAUUGAAUUCUUUGGGGUAUUCUUCUAAAUGGUGUCGUGACUGGGAUAAAUCCUUGUAAUUAUUGGUUUUGAACGAGGAAUUCCUUGUAAUCGCGGUUUAUCAGCUCGCGUUGAAUGCGUCCCUGCCCCUUGUACACACCGCCCGUCGCUCCUACCGAUGGAUCGUCCGGUGAAGCUCACGGAGUGACUGUUCACGCAACGGUUUACGAAGUGAAAUGGACCUCACGAUUUAGAGGAAGGAGAAGUCGUAACA
rnacentral:rRNA from 1 species